rnacentral:lncRNA from 12 species
UAACAAAAUGGCAGCAUAAUUUGUGAAGCAAUUUUACAUUGCAGUAGAGAUGGCAUUGCAAGAUACCCUUUUCCUGAGGCUCAUUGAUUCCUACAUCAAUUUCACUCAGUUUAUGAUGGGGCAAGGCUGAAGAUCCAUUCAAUCGACAUUCCAGGCCUGCUGUGAGAUGCUA